GAGGGAAAAACAUUUAUUACGUCAUCCUGGAAGAGGGAAAUUGAUAGAUGGAAAAGGAGGGAAAACCUCGAUGAGUAGGAUAGAACCCAGAGAGAUGAAGAAAAGGAUAGAAGGUGUUUAACUAGAUGACAGGCAGAGAUGGAAACAAUGUCUAAAGUGGUAUGAGUGUAAGGAGAGACCUGAGGAACUCCACUGGCAUGUAGGAGACUGGGGUAGCAAACUGUUAGUGAAGGCCAAGACGGAUGAUGGAGGUGAAAGCUAGGAACAGGAACGUACUGAAUCAGGUGUGUGAGGUACCUGGUGACCCUGGUGCUGUGGUGCCUCAAGUCAGUCAGUCAGUCUGUCAGUCAGUCACCUCUCCAGGAGGGAAGGUGAAGCAGGCAGAUCAUUCUUGUGGCCCUGACCAACAGUCUGCAUGGGAAACUAUGGGACAAACCAGUGUGAUGCAAGUGACCAGAAUUUCAUCUACCAAAACUCUGCCUCUGACUCACAAGAGCCACAUCCCACACACACACACUGGAGUGCUGGCAGUGCAGGAGACAAGUCAGGAGGAGGAGGAGGAGGAGGACAGGGACCAGCUAUCAGCAUGGAUCACCAGGUCUUGUCUUGGCCACUCACUUGUCUGCAAAGUAUAUUGGUUUUAGUCACAAAGAUUAACUAACACUUUAGUGACUCAUCCACAUUGUCACUCAAGUAAUUACUGGUGAUGGCACAUUAUGCAAAGUCUUUACAAGAUAUCUAUCCUUCGUGACUAAAGAUGGAUUACAGCUUGAGGGUCCUCUGUGCUGCAAGAGGCAAGACUGACUGACUAACUGGCCAUCUUGUGUCACAGUAUCGGGGUCAUCUGGCGCCGCUUGGUAGUUGAACAUGAAAGAAUGCAAAAUAAUAAAAUAUGAAAUAAAUGAA